CCUCACCAUUAAAAUCAAAGAGCUGCGGCUACAUCUCCCACACGGAAACCCUAGCGGUUUCGAAAGAGAGAGAGAGAAGCGGGGGAGGGGGAAGGGGGUCGAGAAAAACCCAAUGCCUCCCCCAGGAACUCUCCAGAAACAGUCCCCUGUUUUUUUUCAAAUAUAAUAUAUAUAUAUAUAUNAGGAGCAAAUUAAUUAUUUUUGAUUAGUUUAUACAGAGCUACUCUAAAACGAAAUCAAAUAAAAAUUACCGCAAAAAUAUCGAUUUCAAAUCCAAAAUUUCCCCAACAAAAACAAAAAGAAGGCGAAAAAUCGAGCCCUCGAGAGAAUCCACUGCUCCAAAUCUCAUUAUUGAACCCAAAAAAAAGAAAGAAACUAGGGUUCCUCUCUCUACAACGUACCAUGGCGAGCUUCUUAUACGCGAUCCUGAGAUCGGCGUCGGAGCACUCCUUCUUCAACCCCAGCACGUCGUAGAGAUCGCCGCUCUUCUUUCCUCCCGCCGCCAUUGGAGCACCUCGAGGUCACCUCACCAUUAAAAUCAAAGAGCUGCGGCUACAUCUCCCACACGGAAACCCUAGCGGUUUCGUAAGAGAGAGAGAGAGAGAAGCGAGGGAGGGGGAAGGGGGGUCGAGAAAAACCCAAUGCCUCCCCCCAGGAACUCUCCA
rnacentral:lncRNA from 1 species